GUUAAGCGCCAAAUUAUCCUUUCCCCCAAAACAAAUAUGCCUCGUACAACAAAGAACGAAAAAACAGAACCCAAAACCCUAGGUUUUUGCGGUGGCGAGAAGCAAUCAGUUUUCUCAAAUUCCCAAAACAUUCCUAAUACUGUCAGUUUGCGGUGGCGAGAAGCAAUCAGUUUGCGGUGGAGAACAUUUACCAACAACAUCACAACUCAAAUCCAUCUGCAGCGUCGUCGGUCUCUUUUCCUCGGUUUCCAUCUUCAUUCGUAUUUUGUUUUUUGAAAUAUGAUGAGAGCAGAGUGAUUCAUGUUAUAUUAGUAGUUUUCCUAAUUUCUUGAUUUCACUGUCAAUUUUGUCGAAUUAUUGCUUAAAUGAGAAAUCUUAAUUGUUUCUUUAUUGGAUUUUACCAUCAAUUCUGUCGAAUUUUUUGAUUUUACUGUCAGUUUCCAGUAGUGGUUGUGUUUACAGUUGUUGAUUUUUUUGUAGACACUAACUUUGAUACAGUAUUGGAAAUUUAGCUCUUCGGUGGCUGAAAUUUUCGUGGAUAGUCACUGAACUUCUCUUAGCCAAGAAGUCUCGCUCUAAGAGACAAAGUGUACGAUCAUUUGAUUGCAAAUGGCACUGAGCCUGGCACUGGAGGACUACUGAUGCUGAUAUGCCAGACAUCAAAGAUAACAUGAAGGCACUAGUGAUCAAGAGAAGGAUAAGAAUGAAGAGAAUCAAAAUGAUGAAUUGGAAUAGCAACACAUGAAAUCGAGGUUGCUAGGAAAAUGGAUGCAUAUGGCGAGAUGAUAACAUAUGGAGUACAAAUCAGAUAUAUUAGAUCUAGUUUUAGAUUACCAUAUGAAUACGUACAUUCUUGUUGGAUGAUUUUGAUUUUAGAUUGAAAAUAUAUGUUGUUUUAUUUCAUUAGUUUAUUAUUUAUGAAAGUAGCUCUAAUAAGUGUACAAUAUUCUAUUAUUAUUAAAAUAUAUAUAAUUGUCAUUUCAUA